UGUUUUCCUGUGUUUGUUUUGACCGAGUCGCAUGUCCACGUCAGCUCCGCCUCCACGUCACGCCUACUCCACGUCGGAUCCAGCGGCGGUCAAAACGCUUUCCCCCCACCUCUCGCUCUCUCUCUCUCCCCCGCAGUCGAGCCGCCAUUUCCCCCUCCCGCUCCCGUCCCUCCCAACCCUAGAUCCGGCGGCGGCGGGACGAAUCCCGGCCGUAGCCGCGCAGCCCCGACUAGGCGUCGCUGAGGAGGUCUGCGCAGUCCGGUGCGGCAUCAAGCGGGUCGUCGUCGUCAAGCCAAGUCCGAUUCGAGGGGGGCCAGCCUCGUCGCCGAUUCCGUGUCGAGGGGGGGCCGCUGCAGUACUGGCCGCCUUACCUAUGCCAUUGCGGGAAGCAGGCGGCAAGGUUGAUUUCCUGGAGCGAUGAGAACCCUGGGAGGAGGUAUCUGAAGUGCUUGAGAGCACGGGCUGGGGGCUGUGAGAUGUUCGCCUGGUACGAAGAAUCCACAACGACUCCCUUUGUGAAGCAGCUGCUACGUGAUUUGCGUGACAUGGUCUGGCGUUUGAAAAGGGAGAACGCGAAGCUGUCGAUGGCAGUAGACGAAGCAAGAUUGGAGCUGGGGUAGGUCGGUAAUGUGGGAGAUGCAGAGCUGAUAGCUAUGAAAGAAGAACUGAAACUCAAAGAGCAAGAAGCUGCAACACUGGGUGAUAGAGUUAGGAAACUGGAGAAUGAAAGAUUGGCGCUUCUGUAUGCUUUUGGCUUGCUGUUUGUAGCAUUUGUGAUGUUUAGGGUCAUGUAAUAUCCUUGUGCUCAUGACAUUGGGUCCUUUGAACUACUUGACUAUGUAAUGUGUAACUCUGUUGCUGCUGUUUGUGCAAGGAAUGCAUGUCACAAAUUGUCAGGCAA